rnacentral:rRNA from 1 species
CCCUUAGAUGUUCUGGGCUGCACGCGUGCUACAAUGGCGCUUGCAACAAGUCUUGCCAACCCGAUAGGGUGAGCGGAUCUUUGAAGAGGCGUCGUGAUCGGGACAGUUGAUUGCAAUUAUUCGACUCGAACGAGGAAUUCCUUGUAAUCGCGAUUCAUCAUAUCGCGCUGAAUACGUCCCUGCCCUUUGUACACACCGCCCGUCGCUCCUACCGAUUGAUUGAUCCGGUGAAUUACAUAGAAUUUUGCGUUUUACAUGACGGAAGACGAAGUGUUUUAAACCUUAUCAUUUAGAGGAAGGAGAAGUCGUAACA